AUGUCGCCGAAGGUGAAGAAGGAAGCCCCUGCCCCUCCUAAAGCUGAAGCCAAAGUAAAGGCUUUGAAGACGAAGAAAGCGGUGUUGAAAGGUGUCCACAGCCACAAAAAAAGAUCAUCCGGAUGUCACCCACCUUCCGGCUGCCCGAAACACUGCGGCUCAGGAGGCAGCCCAGCUAUCCUUGGAAGAGCGGCCCUAGGAGAAACAAACUCGACCCCUGUGCCAUCAUCAGAUUCCCCCUUACCACCAAGUCAGCCAUGAAGAAAACAGAACUCACUGUGGACGGCAAUGCCAACAAGCACCAAAUUAAACAGGCUGCGAAGCUCUGUGACACUGACGUGGCUGAGGUCAAUAAUCUGGUCAGGCCUGAGAGGGAGAAGAAGCCCUACGUCCCACUGGCUCCUGGCCAUGAUGCUUCAGACGUUGCUGACAAAAUUGGGAUCAUCUAA
rnacentral:lncRNA from 1 species